rnacentral:rRNA from 1 species
UACGGGGGGGGGCAAGCGUUGUUCGGAAUUACUGGGCGUAAAGGGCUCGUAGGCGGCCAACUAAGUCGGAUGUGAAAUCCCCAGGCUUAACCUGGGAACUGCAUCCGAUACUGGAUGGCUUGAAUCCGGGAGAGGGAUGCAGAAUUCCAGGUGUAGCGGUGAAAUGCGUAGAUAUCUGGAGGAACACCGGUGGCGAAGGCGACAUCCUGGACCAAUUCUGACGCUGAGGAGCGAAAGCCAGGGGAGCAAACGGGG